rnacentral:misc_RNA from 1 species
GGAAGUAAAAAUCGUAACAAGGUUUCCGUAGGUGAACCUGCGGAAGGAUCAUUAAAGUUAUAGUCCCCCGGCCCUCUGGGCUGGGGUCUUCUAUACCACCCUUUGUUUAUUACACCUUUGUUGCUUUGGCAGGCCUGCCCUCGGGCUGCUGGCUCCGGCCGGCUCGCGUCUGCCAGAGGACCUAAACUCUGUUUGUAUAUGAAGUCUGAGUACUAUAUAAUAGUUAAAACUUUCAACAACGGAUCUCUUGGUUCUG